rnacentral:rRNA from 1 species
UACGGGGGGGGCAAGCGUUGUUCGGAAUUACUGGGCGUAAAGGGCUCGUAGGCGGCCAACUAAGUCGGAUGUGAAAUCCCCAGGCUUAACCUGGGAACUGCAUCCGAUACUGGAUGGCUUGAAUCCGGGAGAGGGAUGCAGAAUUCCAGGUGUAGCGGUGAAAUGCGUAGAUAUCUGGAGGAAUACCGGUGGCGAAGGCGGCAUCCUGGACCGGCAUUGACGCCGAGGAGCGAAAGCUAGGGGAGCAAACGGG